AAUCACUGAAACAAGAGGUUUCCAAGAGGUUACCUUCUGCUCCUCUUAAUUCAGUGGUAAAUGAGUUCCAGUUUUUCCACAUCCUUGCCAGUAUUUGAUGCUGUCAGUCUUUUAAACUUCAGCCAAUUUAUGAGUGAUAUCCGCGGCAUCACAGCAGUCGAUGGACAUGCUCGGGGCACCUCCAAGUUAUUUUCGGGAAAUAGAGCAACAAAACACAACGCUAAAAUUUCCGAUCGAAGAAUUCUUCUAACAAUUUAACAUUAGCUUUUUGCUUAUCUUCUGGAUUACCACCCUCUGUUUCCCCCUUUAGUGGAAAAGCCUGACUUACUAUACUGCCAAAAAAUGACUCCACUACAGGAAACACCUUAGAACAUAGUUUUGAAUCACACUAUCUAACUGCAAACUUGGGGAUGGAAUGAGGCAAAUACCUACAAAAAAGGAAGCAAAAACCUGACAAGAAAUGCCUGAAAUGAGGACAAAGGUUGGUCAGAAAGUGCCUGGACUGAGAAGUCCAGGAGAUCAAACGUUAAACGCAACUCUGGACCCAAGUUAGGUUGUGUUAAUACAUGGGAUAACCAGAUAGUUUGCACUUCUAUGGCUAAGCCCAUUUCUCUGUUUAUACAGACAGAGCUAGCACUGCUCUGUUAACAGCUACCAAUAAACUGCUUUGUCCUUUAAGAUCUAUUUGCCACAUGAGGCUGAAACCACUAAAUGGAGUUUUUGCGCUAAGGCUACUAACACUGCGUCUAUGCAAGGAUGGGAAGCUUGUCACACACUCACACUCACACGUCCCAAGUCCGUCAGCCUUGGGGAGUCAGCUUCCAACUCUGCAUUAUUUUCUUCCACUCUCAUCUUUUUAUAUGUGUUCCCUCACAAUUUUCCUAUCACACUAAAGAUGGUAAAAAUCUCAAAUACAUUCACACCUGGUUCUGGUUACC